rnacentral:rRNA from 1 species
AGUAACGCGUGAGUAACCUGCCUCUAAGAGGGGAAUAACAUUCUGAAAAGAAUGCUAAUACCGCAUAACAUAUAUUUAUCGCAUGGUAGAUAUAUCAAAGAUUUAUCGCUUAGAGAUGGACUCGCGUCCGAUUAGUUAGUUGGUGAGGUAACGGCUCACCAAGACUGCGAUCGGUAGCCGGACUGAGAGGUUGAACGGCCACAUUGGGACUGAGACACGGCCCAG